UACAGAGGGUGCAAGCGUUAAUCGGAAUUACUGGGCGUAAAGCGUGCGUAGACGGUUAUUUAAGUCAGGUGUGAAAGCCCCGGGCUCAACCUGGGAAUUGCAUUUGAGACUGAAUAGCUAGGGUGCGGAAGAGGGAAGCGGAAUUUCCGGUGUAGCGGUGAAAUGCGUAGAUAUCUGGAGGAACACCGGUGGCGAAGGCGGCAUCCUGGACCGGCAUUGACGCUGAGGCGCGAAAGCCAGGGGAGCAAAGCGGG
rnacentral:rRNA from 1 species